rnacentral:tRNA from 1 species
UGGUGCAGUGGUUAAGCACUUGGCUGUGAACCAAAAGAUCGGUGGUUCGAACCCACC